GAUGUUUCUGGGACGUUGAGAGUUUGACUCAGAUGCUGUAUCAUUCCAUAGCCACCUGAACGGCUAGCAUAAGUCCCACAAUUGAAAAGAGGCGUCUGUUCCUGAAUGCCACAUCUGGGAGACAACUUUAUUUUGACAAGGAGACUAAUGCAGAGGAAACCUAUUUUACAAGCUGGUCUCUCAAGACACUGGGAACACAUCAUCAGCUUCACUGCUGAGGGGUUAAUCCAAGGUUGAG